ensembl:lncRNA
GUCCUCCGCCGAGCGCGGCCCUCGCUACAAAGGACUCGCCCCUCUGGCCGCCGACUCUCUCGAAUCUGUCUCAUCUCUCUUGACUCGGCUGCCCUGGUCCUUAAUCGCUGCGCCCCAGCUCCCUCGCGCUGGAGCCUAGACCUGGCCCGGGCUCGCGUAGUGCGGCCUGCGCGUCGCCCGGACUCGACCUCCCCCCCGGGGUGACGCACUUCCGGCGCGACGGAGCCGCGGAGACGGCAGGCCCUCCCGACCCGCAGCGGUGCCGGCGCAGGAAGAAUGGCGAGCUCCUUCCCCCGGCGCCGCGGCGGGGCGGAAGAAAGCCGACCUGCUGGCUUCCCGACCUUUUGAGCCAAGAGACCUCUUCCACAAGCUUCCUCAGGGCCAGGUUCUCGAGCGACACUCUGAAGGUGGCGUUUUUAAUCAGCAGGUGGGCGCCGAGGAAGCAGGCCUGUGGCGGCCAACGGUAGGAAACCUCCGGCCGCGACCGGCGGGUCCUGGCGGCCGCUGCGCGCCCCUCGAGCCCGGCCUGCCUGGCCUCGUUUCGCACAGAGCUCUCCAGCCCCAAGUUACCGUCCCCGAGCCUCGCUUGAGCCGAGCUUGGCCGUCUGCUCACGCCAGUGCCUGUGCAUUGCUGAGAACCCAGCUCCAGCCUGGGGACCUGGACCAAGGCCUGCUGUAGCACAUGUUUUGGCCACCACAGGCCCAAAGCAACAGGCCCAAAUGGCUGUGGAUGGAAACCUCCAAGAUGAGAUUGGAUCCAACACAUGGAGAACACCUUACCAGACCAUGUCCGCACCACAGCACCAGGUCAACCCCACUUUAGUAUAGGACAAACUGUUAAGUACUGUAUACCCUUGUUUACACUAACGCCCGUGGUCCAGUAGCUUCCAAUCUGUUUAGUAUUUCCUUUCUCAUGGGCUGGGACAUGGCAGAAAGCACAGAACAGGCAAAGCGCUCCCAGAUACAGAAGCAGCAGCACUCACACACCCCCUCCAUUUAACUAAAUGGAAACAGCCUAAGAAUGAAUCGUGACUUAAGUUUCCCAAAUAUUAAACUUCCACACCCAUCAUUCUAGUUGAGGUUAAUAAUACUGUGAAUUGACUUGUGAUUUUUUUUCCAAGACAGGGUCUUGCUAUGUAGUUCAUAGUCUUUGAACUCACCUUGUAGCCCAGGCUGGCCUUGAACUUGUGGUAAUUCUCCUGCCUCAGCCUCCCAAGUGCUGGGAUUACAGUCAUGCACCACCAUGCCGGACCAUUCAUAUGAUUUUAACACUAAAUUUAUCUUGUACAGAAGAAGAAAUGAGCUUAUGUUUUGAAAUAAUAAGCAAGAACAGUGUAAACUAGGCAGGGAAUCAUUUGCAUUUCAGCAGAAAAAGAGUACACAAGGAGCUAAACGUGAGGACACAGCUUGUAGGUGGUAAAGGUAGAAACUGAAGCCAAAGUUUCUAAGAUCUUUCAGGGAGAAGAGGGGAGCACAAGGAGAAGCAUGUGUGUGAGAUCAGAGACGACCAUUUCCGUUCCUUUUGGCCCCACGCUAGAUGGCCGUUGGGGGUCUCCUGGGCUUGCUACAUGAUGGGACACAUAAAGCCAAUGCAGAGCUUUGUAUGACAUUGCGGUCACCUAGGACACAUCUGGGAGUGGUCUCUGGACCUGAAGCAGGUUGAGACGUUGGGUUAGCAUCUGGCCCUGCAUACGAGACAUUCUUCAAGAACUCAAAAUGUUGAAGAGUAGCUCAGUAUGGAAACCUAGGGCAGCCAUGGGUAUAAAUACCUCUCUCCUCCAGAGCUGUGUGCCACUCACGGGCUGAGGAAUGUAAGAACACAUGAGGAGCCACAGUUGCUCCUCUCCCAGUAUGGGCCCAGCGCAGGCCAACAAACUUUCAGGAGAGAGACAGACCUGUGCUCCUGGUCUGGCUCCUGUAAGGGUUCAACACUGGGCAGGAUUUCCUGGCGUCUUCACUAGUGAGUCCCUCAGCGUUGUUACAAAACAGAUUCCUGGUAAAUAUUAAACAUACAUGCUUUCAUUAUUAAAGCCCUAAUCUUCUUGAACAACUCUCCAGUAACUAAAGUUCAAAGUAAGAAAUGAAAGAAAAAAACAAAAACACAAAAAUAAGCAGGACAACAAUGUCCUGAGUCACCCACUGGAAGCUUAUUUUGUGCAGUGCCGGGUGUAUCGUCUCCUGAAACCUGUUAUUAACACCCUUGUCCAAAGCUGCUGGAAGUCCAGGUUAUCAUUCAGUCCUCUCAUUUAUUUGCAGCAGUGUCUUGAUGCCAGGAUCCAUUAUUUUGAACAUACCUUAGAAUCCUAUUAUCAUCCUUCUUCCCUAAAAUUCAGUAGCAUGGAGGGAAAGAAUUUUCUUAUGGAAACAGUCAUAUUUAAUAAAUAUAUUUUCUCAGUAUACACUCAAGAGUCACUUGGGAAUGGUUUAUUGUGGUACCACUACAUCUCAUGACAGUUAAAAACUCUUAACUUUCUAAAGUAUCUUCCAUGAACUGGAUUUAAAUACAUACCACGAAUUCUUUU